UUUGUCCAGACACCUGAGGAGGCGGCGGAGGAGAGGCGGUGGUCGCGGCUGUGCGAGGAGAUGUGGUCCUUGGUGGCAGCGCUGCUGCUUGGCACCGUGUGCGGCGGUUCUGCACAGCUGACAUUUAAUUCAACCAGAUUUGUAGAAGAAACUAUUUGCAAUGAAACUGUUAUACUUCCCUGCAUUGUUAAUAAUCUAGAGAUAAAGAACAUUAAAGUCAUGUAUGUAAAAUGGAAACACAGAGGAAAAGAAAUAUUUACAUUUGAUGGAGAUCAAAAUAAGCCCAAUGCCAGUGAUAAUUUUAAGAGUGCAACAAUUGCACUUUCACUGUUAGUAGAAGGAAAUGCCUCUUUGCUAAUGAAAAAGAGUGAUGCUGUCCCUGGGAAUUACACUUGCGAAGUCACAGAAUCGAGCAGAGAAGGAGAAACAACAGUGGAGCUAAGAUAUCAUGUGGUUUCAUGGUUUUACCCAAAAGAAAACAUUCUCAUCGUUAUCUUCCCGAUUUUGGCUAUACUGCUUUCCUGGGGUCAAUUCGGUAUUGUAACGCUUAAAUAUAAAUCCAACUGUACCAGCGAGAAAACUAUUGGAUUAAUUAUUGCUGGAUUAGCCCUGACCGUGAUGGUUAUUGUUGGGGCCGUUCUUUUUGUACCAGGUGAAUAUUCAGUAAAGAAUGCUUCUGGACUUGGUUUAAUUGUAAUCCCUACUGUGACAUUAGUGCUACUCCAAUAUUGUGUAUUUAUGACAGCUUUUGGGAUGACUCUCUUUGCCAUUGGUAUAUUGAUUCUGCAGUUACUGGGUUACGUACUUGCUGUAAUUGGACUAAGCCUGUGUAUCACAAAAUGUUCCCCUACGCAGGGCCCUCUCAUGAUUUCAGGCUUGGGUAUCAUUGCCCUUGCAGAAUUGCUUGGUCUAGUUUACAUGAAAUUUGUAGAGUUGAGAGGCACACCCUCGAUCAAUUGAUGAGCAAGAAGAGAAAAGCUUCCAAUCAGAAGACUAUACCACCAUCUAGGAGUAAUUGAAAAGAAAUGAUGGACUCUGAUUUGGAGGAUAGUAGAUGCGAAUGGAAUAUACUUGUGCUCAGAUACCAUGGCCUGGAUUGACUAUCUGAAGAGAAGAAAAGGAGGAAAUUCACUGAUUUGCAUCUUGUGGGGGGAGAACCUACCACCACCCUUAAAUGAUUGCUACAGUUAAGUUUAUAUUCAAAACAGCUGUAAUUUAGUUAAUUAAAAAUUUAUGAAGAUGUAUAUUGUAUUGCCCAAUUGAGAACCAGUUUUGGGGGAAAUCAUUUUGGUUUAUUGUUCAGUAGAGACAGAGGUAGAGUUUGUACCUUUCCAGAAUGAUACCUUUAUCAAACCCCAUGUCUUUAUUUCCUGUAAUUUUCUGGGUUUUAAAAAACUGAUUAAAGGCGAAAUUGACCCUGUACCAUUUGGUGGCUGCUCCAAGAAGUCUAUGAGACAUAAAAAUCAAUGGUUUCCAUCUAACUUUGAAGGAUAGCAUUCCAGGGAGCACAUUUGGCAGGCAGUGUUUAUUGGGCCACGGAAUAUCUCCGCUACUUCUGGGUCAAGAGAGAGAGAUCUUUUAGAGUCAGGUCGAAGUACCUUGCAUCUUGCGUUGCCACCUAGUGUCUUGUCAUAUGCUUACCUAUGUGGAUAGAGGCCUUCAUUCUGGAGGGGUUACCACUCUUGCAUCUUUGCCAAACUUGAAAUGUAAUAGUCAGAAACUUCUAGAUUCUGGUUGUUAACUGAGGCUUUGCAGCUUAACCUUGUGAUUUUCUUGAUGUUAGGUUUUUGUUUUUUUUUUAUCCCCACAACCUUUUAAAUCCUGUCUUGUCCUCCUGUUAAUUGCUUCUGUCUUACAAGAUGUUGAGUCUUUGCUCUUCCUUGAACCAGGUCCUGGGACAUACUGUAGUCUAGUUCCUGAAAGGGAUGGGUCUUGUUCCCAGAGCACUGCUUUCCAGUCUUAAUUUUUUGGCAAAAAUAACAUCAGCAUUCCCUUCCCCUAAACUGAGGGUAUCAUCCAGUGUUAUUUCACAUAUUUUUGGUCUGGGGCAUGAAAAACCAAGAUUGAGAUUUGAGCUUUGAUCCCCUGCAUGGCAGUACAGUAUAGUGCAUCACCAUUGGGCCAGCUCCUCCAGAGGGCCUUUUUUUUAACUACUGUUGUAUCUAUGUUGCAUGGAAAAAGAACUCAUUGCCACCAUCUUCUUGUAUUCUCACCUCAGCCUCUCCUUUCUCUAAAACUAAAAACUUUAAAAAAAAAACCACAAAACCUUUCCUACCCUGGUUUGAAGUUUAGCGUUAUGGCAGCUGUGAUUGCCUGUACUUUUAGAUUAUUAGCACUCGUUUUUACCUUGUUCAUGUGUCUGUGAGUGAGUGUGUGUGUAUAUGUAUGUAUGUCCGUGUGAGUGUGUGUAUCUGUAUGUCCGUGUGUGUGAUAGGCACAUGCUUGUUUCAUGUGGACAAUUGGGGUGAACAGAGCAAAUACUGAUUUUUCUACUUUUAGUAGAAUUAUUUAAAACGAACGUGUUUCUUAGGUAGAAUUGGUCAUUAAAGUAAUUUGGUUAUUAAAAAAAAGUCAGUUGUCCAGCUUUGUGCUCAUCAGUACCCUUAAGUACCAGCCAUUUUUCCUGUUUGUAUAUUUGUGGUUGCAUUGGUGAUAGUUAUUUCUUAGUCCACCGAAUGUUCCCAUGUGCCUCUUUUGUAUGCUAGUUCAGUACUACUCAACUUAAUUUUCAUAUUUCAUGUUGGGACCAAGUGGUUUGUCCUUGGCAAACCACAAUUUAAUGACCUUUUGAUGCCUCACAAAAAAUCAAGACACUUUUUACAAAGCCAGCUCUAUUUUUCUUUUAUGCUUUGUCUUUUUUCCUUCCCACCGUUUGUGGUGUUAUUCAAAGUAUUGGCAUAAAUAGAGGAGCUGGAUUACAGCAAGUCCAUCAGUUCCUGCUGCUCUUCUCCCCCUGCCAUCCCCUUCUGCCCCCAUACCGAUGAAAUUGGAAAAGUUAAAGCAGAUGAAAUUGCAAAAGUCCAAAUCUCUAUUUUUUAGGAAAUUAGCCAGGUAUGAGGAUUUUUCCAAUGAAUUCCUCACUGAACUGCCAUUGUCCCCCCCCCCCCCCUUUUUUUAGAUAUAUAGUGAACUCUCAAUAAUUCAGGAACAGUUAUGCAGGAAGUAUCCUUACUUUUAUAUUCUUCCUAUUUCUGCCUGCCUUUGGGGCUUUUCACUGCCACCAAAGCAACUCCAUCAGAAAGUGGCGGGGGAAGAUUAUGAAGAGGAAACUCAAUGAAUCAGUCAUUUUCACAAGCACGUGGUAAAGUGUUUAGCACACUGGUGCUUAAUAAAUGCUUGCUAACUGAUUUGCUAGCAGCUCUGUAAAAGGAUUGACUGGGGGUAGGGUAUUGAAACCACCAGCCAGAGUAGGGUUUUUUUUUUUUUUAUAUUCUUGUAUUUAAUUAAAAAAACAAAAACAGAAACACUAACUUCUAUUGUCUUCCUUAGUUCCCAUGUUGCAUUCAUCACUUAGUCUUUUUUAUUCCUGCUGCCAUAAUAUUUUCCAGAUUCCCUCUCCUGUCUCUCCAUUCCCAUGUGGUUAAUUUCUUAACUACAUGACAUCUCAACUACUAAAAUAUCCUAAGCACCUACCAUGUAUCUGUUGUUUUUAUUAAGCUCAUUACCCCAUAGAGGAGUCAUAUAGUGGAAAGAAUACUGAACCUGGGAAUGAAGAGACCUCAGUUUUAGCCUGCCACUGUGUGACUAUAAGAAAGUGACUUCCCUGGGCCUCAAUUUGCUCAUCUCUAAAAUGGGGGUGGGGUGUAGAUGAAAUGAUUUCUAGGUUUCUUUCAGCUCUUAUAGUCUAACUGGCUCCAGCUAAGUUUUACUCACCUUCCCAGGCAGUCUUCUUGGCUAUUUUUAGUUUUUUCCAUUUAUUUGAUCUAUAUACCUCAACAGGAAUCAUCUUCCUCAGUCAUCAUUUUGAUCAAAUUGUUGUUAAUAGAAAUCCAUUCCCAAUUACCAUAAUGCUUCAGAGCACCUAAUGGUUUCCCCCACCCUCUUUACCUGUCAGUCAUUUUCUUUUUUAUUCUGUAUCCAGCCUGUCCUCGAACAGCCAUUUACUAUAUCCCUGGGUACUAUCCCUUCACUGCCUUUUCUGACCUCUCUAGCAUUUAAGCCUUUACCUAUGAAGCACCCUCCUGCUUUGCUAUCCUUCCCCUCCCACACAGCACACCACCUUUCUUCUUCAGAUUGACGGAUCUAUUCAAGUUUCAAUCAGAUUAUUUACUCUGAUCAUCCCUUUUCUUUACCUUACUAACAAAAUCCCCAUUUACUUAGUACUUACGUGUAUAUGUCUAUACAACUUUUUAUAGGUGUACCUUGUUUUAAGUAAAUCCAGUAUAUGAAAAUUCAUAAAGUAAAUAUGGAAAUUAUUCCUCUCUUCAAAGAAGUUUCCUUUAAAUAAAAAGUUCCUUUUGGUGAAAUGAGAAUAAUUCAGUGGACAUACCUUUUAGGUACAGGCAGAGCUGCUGCAUGUCAAAUCACACACACACACACACACACACACACACACACACACGUUUAGUUAUUUGUCCUAUAUCUCCCACUAGAUAUUUCAGGAGAAUAAACACUCUUUUUCUCCCUUUCUCCACAGAGUGCCUAGUUCAAUGCUUUGCACACAGUACAUGGUAAUUUGGGUUGAUAAUCAAGAGUUGCCUAUAAUUAGUUUUUUUUCCCCCUAGUACUCUUAUUAAGAUGAAUAAGUGUUUUCUCUUUUGACAGAUUUUGUGUUAAGGAAAACUUAAAAGAUGAUUUUUUUUUUUUUAACAUGAAAGUCUAGGUCAAAUCAAAAAAAAAAUUUCAAAAUGUUAGAACUUUAAAAAAUGUAGGAGCUUUCUUGUCAGUAUGAAGAAAAUAAAUGACUCUUCAGUUAGUAAGUGGCCAAUUUCAAAGCACUUAAAUAGUCCCUUUGAGGUCUGAGAGAGUGGUGGUAGAGUCCCCUGUCAUUCUUUCCAAAUCUCUUCAUAUUUCUAACUAAAAAAAGAGUUAGGCAGUGGUAGUUUUUGUGGUCUCUAUGGAAAAAAAAAUACUACAUAAUAUACCCAUUCAUUUAUCUGUUUGUGAAAAACAGAAAAAAAUAAAAUAUUUGUAAGGCA